GGUGACAUCACUGUCACAACCCUGGUGAAGUCAACUGGUGGGCUGUGACAUCAUGGAAUAAAUGAGGCAGGAAGAGGGGCUCAGCUGAUUGACCAGCUUCUGUGCACAAACAUCCUGGGGACCAGCUGGUAGGGCACUAGGAACGCCAGGGAAGGGACAGCGCUGCUCGCUGGGGUUUAGCAAACUAGGAGAGCCAGUGAAGUCCCCAAUAGGGCAGCUGCAGUUCUCCAAGUCUGAGGUCACCCAGUCUCUGGAGAACUCCCCAACCCACCUCUCAAACCACCCCCACUGGAAGCGGAGGGAGCAAAGCCUGUCUCACCCACUCUACAUGGGCUAGAGCGACAUCACAGCAGCAGCAUCCUCAGGCGACUGACACUCCAGGGCAUGCAACUACUCCACCCUGCCCUGCACAGAAAGAGGGGAGGACAGGACCUUUGGCUGGGGGUUAGCUGGCCUGUCCAUCCAUCGCACUGCUGAGACCCUCCAGGAAGGGUCUGCUAGUGAUGGGGGGAGGGUGGGCAAAGACCACUCCCAUUGAAGGCCAAUCCUCUUCCCCAACAUGGAGGUCUCAGCAUGGGUGUCAGAAACAUAGGGAUGGGGGUGGGGGGAAUCUCCCUCUACCUCCUGGUUACCAUCACAUGGAGAGGCUGCUGUUCCUGCCCCAAGGAAAGGGGACAUCUCAUCCUCCUUAUGAGAGGGAGCUGUCGUCUCCUGCCAGGACUGAAGAGACCCUCCCCAGACCUCCUACAUCAGUGCCUUCAGAGUCAGGUGCCUAUGGACACAUACAAAGAGACUGCUAAGAAACAGACUGCCCAGGAAUUUGGAAGGGUUAGCAACUCUCAUGCUUCAGAGACCACCCUCAUCUCGGAGAGGGUCAGGAAGGAGAUUUCCCAUCCCAACCAGCUAGUCCAUAACUGCCCACUUCAGGGUAUCUUUCUUCUUCCUCUGAAAUGGAUGGGGUUGGCCCCCUGGCCUGUCCCGGCCAGGCAACUCCUCCACCAUACUGCUUGGACUGUCUUUCCCUGCUAACUCACUGCCUCUUUAAAAAAGUCUCACCCAGCCAAUCGGGCAGCAGAAACAAUACUGCAGAACUUGGCUGACCAA